rnacentral:rRNA from 1 species
UACGGAGGAUGCAAGCGUUAUCCGGAAUGAUUGGGCGUAAAGCGUCCGCAGGUGGCAAUGUAAGUCUGCUGUCAAAGCGUCUGGCUCAACCAGAUAAAGGCAGUGGAAACUACAUAGCUAGAGUAAGGUAGGGGUAGAGGGAAUUCCUGGUGUAGCGGUGAAAUGCGUAGAGAUCAGGAAGAACACCGGUGGCGAAAGCGCUCUGCUGGACCUUAACUGACACUGAGGGACGAAAGCGUGGGGAUCAAACAGG